UAACGAGGGGGGGGGGGGUGGGGGUUUGGCAGCUGCCUUUGAUUUGGACGUGGACGUCCCGGCAGNAGAUCGUGUUUUGGGUGAGACUGAUCACGUCCAUGUGUCAUCGUCGCCUCAGGGGACUCAGCAGUGGCUCCAAACUGGAAUUCACGGGGGCCAACACCUGGUUAUUUCGUGCGGGUGUCCUCUCAUGGUCUCGGUUUUUCUUAAUAAACGGUUCCCCUUCGGAUUCUAACUGUUUUCCUUACUACNCCCCUUAUGCGGAAAAACUCUCGCCAAAAUUCCCUCAGAACCCUGGAUCUUAUCCUUAGUGCAGCUUUUGAAACUCCCUCACUCUUAAAGCAACUUCACCAGGCAUAUACCUGAAUUUUGGGGNUUUACGCUUUGAGGUUUGUCUUAUUUGUACUCGUCGGCGGCCACGAACCGUCGUCUAGGGUCCUGCUCGGACU
rnacentral:rRNA from 1 species